ACUCCUACGGGAGGCAGCAGUGGGGAAUUUUGGACAAUGGGGGCAACCCUGAUCCAGCCAUGCCGCGUGAGUGAAGAAGGCCUUCGGUUGUAAGCUCUUUCGGCGGGGAAGAAAUGGCAACGGCUAAUAUCCGUUGUUGAUGACGGUACCCGCAUAAGAAGCACCGGCUAACUACGUGCCAGCAGCCGCGGUAAUACGUAGGGUGCGAGCGUUAAUCGGAAUUACUGGGCGUAAAGCGUGCGCAGGCGGUUUCGUAAGACAGACGUGAAAUCCCCGGGCUCAACCUGGGAACUGCGUUUGUGACUGCGAGGCUAGAGUACGGCAGAGGGGGUAGAAUUCCACGUGUAGCAGUGAAAUGCGUAGAGAUGUGGAGGAAUACCGAUGGCGAAGGCAGCCCCCUGGGUUAGUACUGACGCUCAUGCACGAAAGCGUGGGAGCAAACAGGAUUAGAUACCCUGGUAGGUCAGUC
rnacentral:rRNA from 1 species